UGUGUGUAUGUGUAUGAGUAUGCAUGUGUGUAAGUGUAUAUACGGGUGUGUAUACCUGUAUCAGUGUGUGUGUGGGCAUGUAUGCAUGUGUAUACAUAUGUGAGAGUAUGCCUUUGUGAAGAUCUGUAUGUGUUUUAAGUGUGUGUGCGUGUUCACGCGUGUAUGCUACUGUGUAGGCAUGUUUUGUUACUGCAUGUGCAUGCAUAUGUGUGUGCAUGACUGCAUGCAUAUAUGUGUGCAUGACUGCAUGUAUGUGAGUGCGUGUGCGUGGUGUGUGCGUCUGUAUGUGUAUGCAUGUGGGUAUGUAGAUGUGUGUGUAUGCAUGCUUGUGUGUAUGAAUGCCUGUGUGCGGGUGCAUGUGUGUGAAGUGCAUCUGUCAUGUGUGUGCGUGUUGUGUGUGUGUGCAUGCACAUUUGAAGUGACCUCAGGUUUCUCUCUCGCCCGCAGGGCUCUGCUUUAUCUGCCCAGAAGGGCACACAUGCACAGUGUCGAUCAAUCACACUCUCCCUUCCUCUGUUUAGGUUUUUGGAUUGCAAGGGGUUUCCAGGGGCAUGUAUGACGGUCCUGUGUACGAGGUACCAGCUACACCCAAAUAUGCAACUCCCGCUCCUUCAGCCAAAUCUUCGCCUUCUAAACACCAGCCCCCACCCAUCAGAAACCUCCACCAGUCCAACUUCAGCUUAUCAGGUGCCCAGAUAGAUGACAAC
rnacentral:lncRNA from 1 species